UGGUGAUGAUGAUGGUGAUGACGGUGGUGGUGAUGGUGAUGAUGAUGAUAACGAUGUCUGUACGUGUGCUUGUGAGUGUGUUUGCGCGUGUGUGUGUUUGUUCGAUUGAAGUAUCAUCAUCAUCAUCUAUCUUUCAUCAUCCUCAUCAUCACCAUCGCCAUCAUCAUCAUCAUCACCAUCA
rnacentral:pre_miRNA from 1 species